rnacentral:rRNA from 1 species
UACGUAGGGUGCUAGCGUUGCUCGGAAUCACUGGGCGUAAAGGGCUCGUAGGCGGCCAACUAAGUCAGACGUGAAAUCCCUCGGCUUAACCGGGGAACUGCGUCUGAUACUGGAUGGCUUGAAUUCGGGAGAGGGAUGCGGAAUUCCAGGUGUAGCGGUGAAAUGCGUAGAUAUCUGGAGGAACACCGGUGGCGAAGGCGGCAUCCUGGACCGACAUUGACGCUGAGGAGCGAAAGCCAGGGGAGCAAACGGG